UACGUAGGGUGCAAGCGUUGUCCGGAAUUAUUGGGCGUAAAGAGCUCGUAGGCGGUCUGUCGCGUCUGGUGUGAAAACUCAGGGCUUAACCCUGAGCUUGCAUCGGGUACGGGCAGACUAGAGUGCGGUAGGGGGAGACUGGAAUUCCGUGGUGUAGCGGUGAAAUGCGCAGAUAUCAGGAGGAACACCGGUGGCGAAGGCGGGUCUCUGGGCCGUAACUGACGCUGAGGAGCGAAAGCAUGGGGAGCGAACAGG
rnacentral:rRNA from 1 species